AUGAAAUCAUUGCAAGGAGCCGCACGUCCCCUCCCCGCUCCAUCGCCUCUACCCUCUCCUAGGGUUAACUCUCUACACCUAGCCCAGAGAGGCCCCAAACGAAAAGGCGGUGAAAAGACAAAAUCAACGCUGGGUCCUAGCACGACCGGGGAUCAGCCACCCGAGCCGGGCACGCCAGGUCACCUGCGCACUGCCCCGCGGCACGCGACAUCCGCGGGCGUCAGGCGGCAUUUCGCACGCGCCAAGUCCGCGUACCCGGCCGGGGGACGCAGGGAGCCGGGCAGGGGGGAGUUGGGAGGGCAGGGGGAAGCCGGGCAGGGGGGAGAUGGGAGGGCAAGGGGUGAGCCGGGAAGGCAGGGGGGGACCGGGCAGGGCGGAGCUGGGAGGGCAAGGGGGAGCCGGGUAGGGGGGAGCUGGGAGGGCAAGGGGGAGCCGGGCAGGGGGGAGAUGGGAGGGCAAGGGGUGAGCCGGGAAGGCAGGAGGGGCAGCCUAUGUCCAGCUGCUCUGGCCCGUGGGCCUGCGCAGCCCCACCAAACCGCAUAGGAGCCAAGGUUGCGGGGGCAGGUGGGAGGGAGUGGCCUGCUUGGAAGCCCCCCUGCAGCUCACCCACAGCUGCACAACCCACAACUGCACACGUGCCCCUGCGAUGUGCACACCUGGUCAGCACAAGGCAGGGGCUACCAGGCUGCGGGGAAGCAAGUACGGACCGGGGCACGCAGGUGCGUACCCAGGACUGUCCCCUGAGGCUACGCGUGUCCAGGGUGCACAGAUUCGCCUGAGCAACCGGUGGGGUCCUGGAGAUGCGGAUAACAAAGGCGGAAGGAAAUGGAGAUAAAACCAAAUGUCCUUAUAACCUACAGCCCAGUGACAAAUACUUGAGGCUGGCAGAGCUUAGUGUUCCUCCAGGAAGCUCCCAACAGUCUAGAUGUUAAUGCCUGGAUAGAGGGAAAAGCAACCUUGGUUGGACAACAGCAGGGCCUCUGGUAUCCUGUGAGUCUUCUUUAGCAUAUGAAAAUCCUUCUGGAACUCCCUUUAUCCUUACUUCCCCCAAAGCAUAUAAUCCCUUACCCCUCACAAUGGGGAUGGGGCAGCAGCUCUUCCUGACCCUGGAGUCCUGUCCCCGUGCUUUAAUAAAACCACCAUUUUGCACCA
rnacentral:lncRNA from 12 species